AGUGAACGCUGGCGGUAUGCCUAACACAUGCAAGUCGAACGGCAGCACAGUAAGAGCUUGCUCUGACGGGUGGCGAGUGGCGGACGGGUGGGGAAUACAUCGGAAUCUACUUUUUCGUGGGGGAUAACGUAGGGAAACUUACGCUAAUACCGCAUACGACCUACGGGUGAAAGCAGGUGCUAUUCGGACCUUGCGCGAUUAAAUGAGCCGAUGUCGGAUUAGCUAGUUGGCGUGGUAAAGGCCCACCAAGUCGACGAUCCGUAGCUGGUCUGAGAGGAUGAUCAGCCACACUGGAACUGAGACACGGGCCAGACUCCUACGGGAGGCAGCAGUGGGGAAUAUUGGACAAUGGGCGAAAGCCUGAUCCAGCCAUACCGCGUGGGUGAAGAAGGCCUUCGGGUUGUAAAGCCCUUUUGUUGGGAAAGAAAAGCAGCAGGUUAAUACCCCGCUGUUCUGACGGUACCCAAAGAAUAAGCACCGGCUAACUUCGUG
rnacentral:rRNA from 1 species